rnacentral:rRNA from 1 species
GACGAACGCUGGCGGCGUGCUUAACACAUGCAAGUCGAACGAAGUGGCGAACGGGUGAGUAAUCCGUGGGUAUCCUGCCCUCCUUUUUGGGAUAAGCCUUGGAAACGGGGUCUAAUACCGAAUAACGGGGGCUGGGCUCUCGGGCUAUCGGCUUGUUGGUGGGGGGAUGGCCUACCAUGGCGGUGACGGGUAGCCGGCCUGAGGGGGGGACCGGCCACAUUGGGACGGAGAUACGGCCCAGAGGACUACGGGAGGCAGCAGUGGGGAAUAUUGGACAAUGGGCGGAAGCCUGAUGCAGCCAUGCAGAGUGUAUGAAGAAGGCCUUCGGGGUGUAAAGUAGUUUCAGGCGGGAGGCGGUACCGACAGAAGAAGCACCGGCUAACUCCGUGCCAGCAGCCGCGGUAAUAC